AUGUCCAGUCCCCUGCUCCUGCGUUCCCCAAGCCCGCACACCCAGACCCUCCUCACCACCCUGUCGGACCCCCUGCACCAGAGGGACCCCCCUGGGAUGAGUCGCAGCUACUCAGCUGACCACCACCACCAGUACCUCCUCCAUCCCACCUCCUCUUCCUCCUACCACGCCUCCCUACCGCCACCUCCUCACCCCGGCCUCGGUUCCGCCCGUAACCAAUCACCCUCCGGGCGCAGGAAACUGCCCGCUAUCCCAGCGGGCGCCGCCAGCAGCAAGUUCCCUUCCGUUAUACGCAUCACACGCGCCCAACUCCAGCAGCUGACUGCUCAGCAGUCCCAGUCUGGCUCAGACUGUGCUCCACAGUGCCUACAGCUGGAGAGACGAGGAGAUGCAGCAGCUGAGGCCCAGCAGCCCCAGGAUAAUACUGCUACCACUGACAUCUACAUCCCGCCCACCCCUAGCCACACCCCUAGCCAGCCCGGCAGCCCCACCAGCCUGGAUGACCUCCUGGCAGAUACCCUGAUCAACGGAGGAGACACCCAGACCUACACCAAAGCCCACAGCCCUGUGCCAAGCCGAGCAUCCUCUCCUCGCUCCCCCCAUUCUCCUCGCUCCCCCCGUUCUCCACGCUCACCCCGUUCUCCUCGCUCCCCCCGUUCUCCUCGCUCCCCCCGUUCUCUCACCUCCCCCCGUUCUCACUCCCCCCGUUCACCUCACUCCCCCCGUUCUCCUCAUUCUCCACGUUCUAAUUCCCCUCGCUCCCCCCGUUCUCCUCAUUUUCCACGUUCUAAUUCCCCUCGCUCCCCCCGUUCUCCUCAUUCUCCACGUUCUAAUUCUCCUCGCUCCCCCCGUUCUCCUCAUUCUCCAGUUCUAAUUCUCCUCGCUCCCCCCGUUCUCCUCAUUCUCCACGUUCUAAUUCUCCUCGCUCCCCCCGUUCUCCUCAUUCUCCACGUUCUAAUUCCCCUCACUCCCCCCGUUCUCCUCAUUCUCCACGUUCUAAUUCUCCUCGCUCCCCCCGUUCUCCUCAUUCUCCACGUUCUAAUUCUCCUCGCUCCCCCCGUUCUCCUCAUUCUCCACGUUCUAAUUCUCCUCGCUCCCCCCGUUCUCCUCAUUCUCCACGUUCUAAUUCCCCUCGCUCCCCCCGUUCUCCUCAUUCUCCACGUUCUAAUUCUCCUCGCUCCCCCCGUUCUCCUCAUUCUCCACGUUCUAAUUCUCCUCGCUCCCCCCGUUCUCCUCAUUCUCCACGUUCUAAUUCCCCUCACUCCCCCCACAGCCCACUUUUAG
rnacentral:lncRNA from 1 species